AGAAGGGAAAACGGAGAUGUCACCUACAACGUGGAGUGUGUCGACAAGUAUGCAGUUUUCGAGUAUGCAGCUUCUUUAAUGGUUUUAGCCGCUGAUUCCAGGCAGGAGUUACAGUUAGGACAUAGUUGUUCACCAUAGUCGUUUCUGGUUUGGUUAAAAGAAAAGAAGUAAAUGAGAGGGAAGAUCAGAAACCUACAGGAUAUGCAAAGCACAGUUUUGAUUCAAGUAGGAGCCGGUAGGACUGAAUCAUCUAUCACUCAAAAGGGAAGUUAAAAGGAGAUGAACACGUCAUACAAAAUAUCAUCUUCUUGUUUGAUUUUUUAGCUUGCAUUUUAUUUGUAUCGUGUUUGUCUUUCCCUUCAUCUCCUUUCAUGUCAUUUCCCUACGGCUCCUUCCUCACUGGACCGUUCCUCUACCCUGAAAAUGAAAUCCGCAAGUAUUACACAAAAGUGUUUUAAGCGACGUUGUCACAUAUGUGGAAAUUGAUAACAAUGACAAAAAUAAUGAUAAUAAUAACGAUAAUAACAACAACGAUGAUAGUGAUAGGAACGGUGGUGAUAAUAUUGAACGACAAAAGAGCUUAUGAGAAAAUCAGUGAACCGGGCGAGAAAGGCAGUCAUGAUGCUUCAGAAAUAUGGAAAGUGUUGGCGUGGUGUCAGAGAACCGAAUAGCCGAAAUAAUACAUUUUUUGGUAAUAAUUGAUAUCAAAAUUUAUUACAUCGCUCACAGCGCCGUGGGCAAGAUGAAGCGAAUCCUGUGUUCUGAUUGGCUAACCGAGCGGGAAAGAUGGGCUUAUCUUGGCUUCUCGGGAUUGCCGGCAUUUAUCCCGCGCAUGAAAAAAUAGAAUUAGAACUAC